CCUACGGGAGGCAGCAGUGAGGAAUAUUGGUCAAUGGCCGGAAGGCUGAACCAGCCAUGCCGCGUGAAGGUCAGUGCCCUAUGGGCGUUAAACUUCUUUUGUGCGGGAGCAAUAAUGGUCACGUGUGGCCAGACGAGAGUACCGUACGAAUAAGCAUCGGCUAACUCCGUUCCAGCAGCCGCGGUAAUACGGGGGAUGCAAGCGUUAUCCGGAGUUAUUGGGUUUAAAGGGUGCGUAGGCUGGGAGGUAAGGCAGCGGGGAAAUGCCCCCGCUCAACGGGGUGAAGGGCCAUUGAUACUGCCUUGCUGGAAUGCGGAUGCCGUGGGAGGAAUGGGUGGUGUAGCGGUGAAAUGCAUAGAUAUCACACAGAACACCGAUUGCGAAGGCAUCUCACGAAUCCGCGAUUGACGCUGAUGCACGAAAGCGUGGGUAUCAAACAGGAUUAGAUACCCUGGUAGUC
rnacentral:rRNA from 1 species